AAAUAAAAAAUAAAAAAAAGACCUCAUUAGCUACUGUAAUUUUAAGUUGAGAGAACAGGAAUUUUUCUGGGGAUCCCUUCAAUUUCACAUGCUUUUAGGUGAGUUUUAGUAUGUGUAGUUAGAGAACUUAAUUACUCAAUUCUUCUUUGAUUCAUUUCUUUUUCCAUUCUUUUCCAAAGCCAGUGACCUCACAACUGCGCUGCAGUUCUUCUUAUAUUGGUAGCAAAAUAUUUUGCAAAAUUGGUAUUGCUUAUCAUCUUACCUUCUUUGAUUUCUUUCUCCUAUCUCCUAACAGUAUUUACUUUUAAAGAAAAAUCUGCACUUUAAAAGUUUUUAUUGGCAGUGGAGCAUGAAAAGAUGCUGCAAUUCUGAGUAUGAUCCAAUGCAAUAGUUUAUUUUAAAAGUAGGAAGUUAAUUUGUUACCAACAAAUGCCUGCUGCUGCAAGUGGCAUGAUAAUGUUAUUUUUGGAGUAGUAUUCUUAUUUCUUCUUGUUAAUUUAAUCUUCGAUUUUGUAUUAAUCAUCAACAUAAUCCAUGCGUGGUGCAGAUUCAAAGAAGUUAACUUUGAU
rnacentral:misc_RNA from 1 species